rnacentral:rRNA from 1 species
UAAGGAAUAUUGCUCAAUGGGAGAAAUCCUGAAGCAGCAACGCCGCGUGGAGGAUGAAGGGUCUAUGACUUGUAAACUCCUGUAAAGAAGGAAAAAAUUCCCAUUAGAUGGGAGAUGAUGGUACUUCUGGAGUAAGCCCCGGCUAACUACGUGCCAGCAGCCGCGGUAAUACGUAGGCAGCGAGCGUUGUUCGGAGUUACUGGGCGUAAAGAGUGCGUAGGCGGCGAGCCAAGUUUGGUGUGAAAUCUCCCGGCUUAACCGGGAGGGUGCGCCGAAAACUGGUUGGCUGGAGUAUGGGAGAGGAAAGCGGAAUUCCUGGUGUAGCGGUGAAAUGCGUAGAUAUCAGGAGGAACACCUGCGGUGUAGACAGCUUUCUGGACCAAAACUGACGCUGAGGCACGAAAGCGUGGGUAGCAAACA